rnacentral:rRNA from 1 species
UCCCAAGGGUAUGGCUGUUCGCCAUUUAAAGUGGUACGCGAGCUGGGUUUAGAACGUCGUGAGACAGUUCGGUCCCUAUCUGCCGUGGGCGCUGGAGAAUUGAGGGGGGCUGCUCCUAGUACGAGAGGACCGGAGUGGACGCAUCACUGGUGUUCGGGUUGUCAUGCCAAUGGCACUGCCCGGUAGCUAAAUGCGGAAGAGAUAAGUGCUGAAAGCAUCUAAGCACGAAACUUGCCCCGAGAUGAGUUCUCCCUGACUCCUUGAGAGUCCUGAAGGAACGUUGAAGACGACGACGUUGAUAGGCCGGGUGUGUAAGCGCAGCGAUGCGUUGAGCUAACCGGUACUAAUGAACCGUGAGGCUUAACCUUACAACGCCGAAG